UACGUAGGGUGCGAGCGUUUAAUCGGAAUUACUGGGCGUAAAGCGUGCGCAGGCGGUUCGUUGUGUCGGCGGUGAAAGCCCCGGGCUCAACCUGGGAAUGGCCGUUGAAACUGGCGAACUGGAGUGUGGCAGAGGGGGGUGGAAUUCCGCGUGUAGCAGUGAAAUGCGUAGAGAUGCGGAGGAACACCGAUGGCGAAGGCAGCCCCCUGGGCUAACACUGACGCUCAGGCACGAAAGCGUGGGGAGCAAACAGG
rnacentral:rRNA from 1 species